rnacentral:rRNA from 1 species
AUACAUGCAAGUCGAGCGGACAGAAGGGAGCUUGCUCCCGGAUGUUAGCGGCGGACGGGUGAGUAACACGUGGGUAACCUGCCUGUAAGACUGGGAUAACUCCGGGAAACCGGAGCUAAUACCGGAUAGUUCCUUGAACCGCAUGGUUCAAGGAUGAAAGACGGUUUCGGCUGUCACUUACAGAUGGACCCGCGGCGCAUUAGCUAGUUGGUGGGGUAAUGGCUCACCAAGGCGACGAUGCGUAGCCGACCUGAGAGGGUGAUCGGCCACACUGGGACUGAGACACGGCCCAGACUCCUACGGGAGGCAGCAGUAGGGAAUCUUCCGCAAUGGACGAAAGUCUGACGGAGCAACGCCGCGUGAGUGAUGAAGGUUUUCGGAUCGUAAAGCUCUGUUGUUAGGGAAGAACAAGUGCGAGAGUAACUGCUCGCACCUUGACGGUACCUAACCAGAAAGCCACGGCUAACUACGUGCCAGCAGCCGCGGUAAUACGUAGGUGGCAAGCGUUGUCCGGAAUUAUUGGGCGUAAAGGGCUCGCAGGCGGUUUCUUAAGUCUGAUGUGAAAGCCCCCGGCUCAACCGGGGAGGGUCAUUGGAAACUGGGAAACUUGAGUGCAGAAGAGGAGAGUGGAAUUCCACGUGUAGCGGUGAAAUGCGUAGAGAUGUGGAGGAACACCAGUGGCGAAGGCGACUCUCUGGUCUGUAACUGACGCUGAGGAGCGAAAGCGUGGGGAGCGAACAGGAUUAGAUACCCUGGUAGUCCACGCCGUAAACGAUGAGUGCUAAGUGUUAGGGGGUUUCCGCCCCUUAGUGCUGCAGCUAACGCAUUAAGCACUCCGCCUGGGGAGUACGGUCGCAAGACUGAAACUCAAAGGAAUUGACGGGGGCCCGCACAAGCGGUGGAGCAUGUGGUUUAAUUCGAAGCAACGCGAAGAACCUUACCAGGUCUUGACAUCCUCUGACAACCCUAGAGAUAGGGCUUUCCCUUCGGGGACAGAGUGACAGGUGGUGCAUGGUUGUCGUCACCUCCUGUCGUGAAAUGUU